rnacentral:lncRNA from 1 species
AUGCCCAAUGGUGUCACUGUCACCAAAGCAGUGACAUGGCCAAGUGUUCAGGACCAUGAGUGGAUGGCAGCAUAUGGACUCCAAGCUGCUUCCUGUGUCAUGGGCACGUCGGCAUGUAGCCAGCUCCUGAUGGUGGCUGGCAAUCCAGCGUUCUUGGCUUGUAGCUUCAUCUGCAAAGCGUGCACCUGCAUCCCAUUACCAGUUCCAUCCCUCCCUUCAAUUUGCCAGAAGACACCAAGAAACUUCGAGGCAGGAAUUCCAGUCCAAGGACCUGUUCUAAAGAUAAAGAUGUGUUCAAUGAGAUGUCUGUUACUUCAACAUAAUUUUUUUUAAGAAAUGCACUUAUCUUUUAAAGCAGCUUUACUUAGUUAUUAAUUGACACAAAGUAAACUGCACAUACAAUUUGUAAAUAUUGACACCUGAAUAAACUUGUCAUCAUAGUGAUAACGUUUUGCA